AACUUUUUGUUCAUUUUAGAAACCGCAAAAAUGAACUUAACAGCUGAAAGCUGUCAAUUUACCCAAAAUAAAUAACAAUCUUUUAAGAAAAAUGAGUGCAUUAGCAAUAUUGGCGGUUAUUUUACGUGAAAAUGAAAGGAAUACAGAAGAAGUUUACAGUAGGAGGAUACUACGGGACCAUUGCAACCCAUUGGAUGUGCCUGAACAAGUUUUCGUGUCGAACUAUCGCGUCAACAAGGAUGCGUUUCUUGAAUUGUUGAACGUUGUUGCUCCGCAUAUAAAGGGCUCAUCAAUUCCUGCGCAACUACAACUGGCAGCCACACUGAGGUUUUUGGCGGAAGGUGGCUUCCAAAAGGCAGUGGGAAAGGAUGUUUGCAUAGCAAUGGGUCGGAGCACAGUUGCAAAAGUCGUAAAACGUGUAUUGAACAUUUUGGAAAAAUAUAUUUGCCCAAGGUGGAUCAACUUUAUUAUGACAACAGAAGAGCAGAAUCAAUCAAAAAUACAUUUCCAUCAAAAAAUUUGGUAUUCCCGGUGUUAUUGGUUGCAUCGACGGUACCCACAUACGAAUUACAAAGCCGCAUAAGGACCCCAACCUAUUUUACAACAGAAAGGGAUUUUUUAGCAUCAAUGCCAUGAUUGUAAAUAUGUGAUUAUAAUAUGGCAAUAAAGGCAGUUGAUGCUCGCCGACCUGGCUCGAGUCAUGAUGCCCUUAUUUGGAGUGUAAGUAGUGCUCGUUCAUAUUUUCAAUCCUGCUACGAAAAUGGCAUACGGGCUCUUGGCUUAUGGGUGAUGCUGGGUAUGCUCUUCAACCUUAU